AUUGCUUCUCGGCCUUUUGGCUAAGAUCAAGUGUAGUAUCUGUUCUUAUCAGUUUAAUAUCUGGGUCUUCCCUCAUAGCUCAAUUGGUAAAGAAUCCGCC
rnacentral:snRNA from 1 species